rnacentral:antisense_RNA from 1 species
AUCAAUGGUGACACUGGCGAGGCAACUGCAAGGUUGGCUGGAGUCCAUACGUUCCGGUUUCCACCCUCGCCAGCGUCACCGCCCAU